rnacentral:lncRNA from 1 species
UUAUUUCUGUCUUUGAAAGUAUUUACAUGGAAAAGAGUUUGCUUAAAAUUAUAUUCUUAAUCAGAAUUUCUUUAAACUACAUCAUCUAAUUGCUUCUGUAAAAUUAUUAUGGUACUACAAUACAGUGGACACUCUUACAGCUUAAAGAAAUGGGCUUGUUGUUGUUGUUGUUGUUUGUAUUUUUGAGAUGGAGUCUGGCUCUGUCCCCCAGGCUGGAGUGCAGUGGCACGAUCUUGGCUCACUGCAACCUCCGCUUCCCAGGUUCAAGCGAUUCUCCUGCCUCAGCCUCCUGAGUAGCUGGGACUACAGGCACACACCAUCAUGCCCGGCUAAUUUUUUGUAUUUCUAGUAGCGAUGGGGUUUCGCCAUGUUGGCCAGGCUGGUCUCGAACUCCUGACCUCAAGUGAUCCGCCCGCCUCAGCCUCCCAAAGUGUUGGGAUUACAGGUGUGAGCCACCGCGCCCGGCCAGGAAAUAUUUUUUAAAAGGAGUCAUGUAUGUCAUGUACAUUGAUGUACAUGAAAUGUACGUCAACAUUUCAUAUGUAUUCUAUAUAAUAAACACACUAAAGCUUGCUGCAAAACAUCAGUUUAGGAAUUUUUUAUGAGGGUUUAAUAAAACUAGCGCCAUUGGAAUAAAUUCCCGAGUAGCCCCUGCAGUAGCGUAUCUGAGCUCUCAACAGCAAAGAGCAAGAAUGCUAGAGCAAAUAGGAUUGUGUUAUGGCAGAAAAUUUUAUUUGAUUUUUCAGUUCUGGUGAUGGAUUUUUAAUUCAUUUACAGAUAUCUCUGGAGCCACCAUAAUAGACUCUUAAGAUUCUGUGCUUCCAUUUCAAAAUUUAGUUGGUAAAUCCAGAUGGAGUCUUGUUCUGUCUCCAGGCCGGAGUGCAGUGGUGCGAUCUCAGCUCACUGCAACCUCCGCCUCCCAGGUUCAAGCGAUUCUCCUGCCUCAGCCUCCUGAGUUGCUGCGACUGCAGGCGCCCGCCACCAUGCCCAGCUAAUUUUUGUAUUUUUAGUAGAGAUGGGGUUUCACCAUGUUGGCCAGGAUGGUCUCGAUCUCCUGACCUUGUGAUCCACCCGCCUCGGCCUCCCAAAGUGCUGGGAUUACAGGUGUGAGCCAUCGCACCCGGCCUGAUUAACAUUUUUCUUCCAUGUCUGUAUCAUGUCCUGUCUGUUCUUCAAAACACAUUACUUAUUUUCACUGCCAUCAUUCUAAUCCAUGCCUUCAUCACAUCACAUUUGCAUUACUAAAAUAAGCUUUUAGCUAGAAAAAGCUGAUGAAACACUGACUUAAG